AAUAAAUUAAAUUAUUAUUUCGCAAAAACAGCCACGUUUGAUAAAUAGAUAUAAGAAGAUAAGGUAUGAGUGUCAAUAAGACAACUUUCCAUCCAAGUCACGUCUGAUAAGCAUGGUACAAAUAUUUAAGCUUAUAUGUUUAGGUUAAAAAGGCCCAUAAGCAUAAACCUACAUGUAUAUAUUGUAUUGUAUCCUCAUUCUUUGGUCGAGAGAGAAAGGGGCAUCUUAAAGCGAUAGUCAUUGGAUGUAAGUAAUUAUAGGCAACCGUACGGCCUUUAACAAUGAGAAACAACCCAGUUAUUCAUUGGGCUUGUUAUAAACAAAAUAAUUAGUGUUUACUUGAUUUUUAAAGAAAUUGAUAUGCCGGACACCUAGGACCUUUUGACCUCAAGGGGAAAGAUGGGAGAAUAUUU
rnacentral:lncRNA from 1 species